CGGAAUGUAGCGCAGUCCGGUAGCGCACUUCGUUCGGGACGAAGGGGUCGGAGGUUCGAAUCCUCUCAUUCCGACCA
rnacentral:tRNA from 5 species